AUAUAUUUUAUUUUUAAGAAUAUGUAUUUUUGAUUGCAUAAUAUUACUAAAAAAAACUCCCAACUCAUAUCAAAAUAAUAGAGAGCACAACAUAACAGAGAGAGUAGAUAGAGAAAGAGAGGUAGAUAUACAAGCAGAGAGACACAGACAAAAGCCUUGGAAGCCUUGGGAAUUGCUUUGGGCAGCCAAUUUACAUGGCAUCCACUUCCACGGCGGCCACCGCCACCUUAAUGCCCUGUCGGCUACCCUCCACCACCACUGCCAACUACCCACCUCGCUGCUCAUCACUGCCUUCUCUUCCACCCCUCCUCUUGUCCACCCCAGCCUUUUCCACUUCCUUGAAACAGCUCUCUCAGUUUCUAAAUUGCAUUUGGAAAAAUGCAAACUUGCAUAAGAAAAACGAACUUAUGUUGUGCGUGGUUAUUUUGGGAAAUUGAUAAAGCAGAACCCGGGAGGUUUUCUAUUCUUCAAGUCAAGGCCACUUCCUCAGAAGAGUCAUCUCCUCCUGUUGAUGCCGGAAAAUUAUUCAGUGAUCUAAAGGAAAAGGUGAGGAGCAAACCGGGCACCAUACCAAAGAAGAGGAAGCUUGAAACUAUUUCUCAGUUUGUCUUUCCAUUGCUUUCUGUUACAACUUCUUUUGAUUUGAGUCUAUACUGAUGGUUCACAUGAAA